GCAGUCAGCAAAAGCAUAGCCGUCGCCUUUUCCGCGGCGGAGGAAAGUCCGGACUGCAUGGGACGGCACACCGGCUAACGGCCGGGCGGGGUGACCCGACGAUUAGAGCAACAGUGACGAAGCGAACCCAUAUGGGAUUCGAGUGAAACGGGCAAUCUCUGUGCGCAGCAACUUCAAAUAGGCCUCCAUUGGUUUGUCCCAGACCGGGGGCGGGUAGAGGGCUUGACACCCUGCGGUAACGCUUGGUGCAGAUUAAUUAUGCUUGCCACCCAAUGUUUGGUGUUGAACGCGCCGGAACAACACUGGAUUUGGGCGGAACAGAAUCCGGCUUAUCAGCUGGCUGUACGG
rnacentral:RNase_P_RNA from 1 species